rnacentral:rRNA from 1 species
UACGUAGGGUGCAAGCGUUAAUCGGAAUUACUGGGCGUAAAGCGUGCGCAGGCGGUCUUGCAAGUCAGAUGUGAAAUCCCCGGGCUCAACCUGGGAACUGCAUUUGUGACUGCAAGGCUGGAGUACGGUAGAGGGGGAUGGAAUUCCGCGUGUAGCAGUGAAAUGCGUAGAUAUGCGGAGGAACACCGAUGGCGAAGGCAAUCCCCUGGACCUGUACUGACGCUCAGGCACGAAGGCGUGGGGAGCAAACAGG